UCUCCUGAGCUCAAAGAGCAAUGAUUGGAGGAACCCAAAAUAGCUGUUAUACAGGGGGCUGACCUGAGAUACCUCAGGAUAGGAGGGACUAAAUCACACUUUCCCACCUAACUGGGAAAGACCAGAAGACAACUGCUGAUAACACCUACAAGCUGCUGAAAUGUCUUUUUUCCCCCAAGCUAAGGACAAUCUAUGAUCUUUUUGUGAAAUGACAGAAAACGAGUCACUUCCAAGGGUACCCAUGAAUGAUAUAGUAGGUAGUUUUGGAGUCUAUCUCCCUAGUGUAAACCAUAAUACAAUUUAUUACUUAAGUAAAGCUGACUUUUCCCCAUGGCAGAAGCAGCCAGAGACCUUCCUUCUGAUCUUGGCUAUUAUCUGUCAGUUCCCAAGCAAAGCCCGGGAGAUGUUUCAAUAUUCUCUCUAACCAUCCAUAUCUAAUCAGGAAAUUCUCCAAGGAAAUGUCUUGUCUCAUUGAUGCCCAUUUUAUUGUCAAAGACCAUUACAUCCCAGGUUUUCACACUGACCUGUCCUGUGGCCAUCAGAACUGGCUUACUGGAGACAUCUUUUUCCAUCAUGGAGAACACUUAGCUGUGUAUCCUGCCAGACUUCUAGGAAGGAGAUGCUUUCCUUGCCUCUUCUGCUGAAUUCAGGCUGAAUUCCUAAAUUCUGAAGCACAAAAGCCUAGGAUGCAGGAGAGGAUAAAUAGCUGCCACCAUUCCAUAUUUUCCAUGUGAGAAAUCUAGCAUAGAAUGGGUUGAGGGAUUGAUUAUAUUACAGUUUCCAAAGAAAGCCUUUGUUGCAUUUAGCAGAUGCAUGGGAUUUGUAAUGUCCAUUCAUGGUGGAAAGACAUAUCCAUAUAAAUCUGACCAUAAUUUGAAAGAAUUUUGGCA